GACGAACGCUGGCGGCGUGCCUAAUACAUGCAAGUCGAGCGAACAGACGAGGAGCUUGUUCCUCUGACGUUAGCGGCGGACGGGUGAGUAACACGUGGAUAAUCUCCCUAUAAGACUGGGAUAACUUCGGGAAACCGGAGCUAAUACCGGAUAAUAUCUUGAACCGCAAGGUUCAAUAGUGAAAGACGGUUUUGCUGUCACUUAUAGAUGGAUCCCCGCCGCAUUAGCUAGUUGGUAAGGUAACGGCCUACCAAGGCAACGAUGCGUAGCCGACCGGAGAGGGGGAUCGGCCACAUGGGAACGGGACCACGGUCCAGACUCCUACGGGAGGCAGCAGAAGGGAACCUUCGGCAAUGGGCGAAAGCUUGACGGAGCAACGCGGCGUGAGUGAUAAAGGUCUUCGGUUCGUAAAACUCGGUUAUUGGGGAGAAACAAAUGUGUAAUUAAAUAUGCACGUCGUGACGGUACGUAAUCAGAAAGCCACGGCUAACUACGUG
rnacentral:rRNA from 1 species